rnacentral:misc_RNA from 1 species
AAGUCGGAACAAGGUUUUCGUAGGUGAACCUGCGGAAGGAUCAUUAACACGUAUCCAACGUUAAACCCCCCUGUGAACCUUCAUUGUGCUCCCAUUCCGUUAGGACGCGGCAAUCCCUGGCAGCAGCGCGAGGCAAGUGGCCUGGCAUUCGAAAGAAUGGCGCAGUAACGAUCGCUAGAGGCCGACACGGCCGGCGACCGGGUCACUGGGCUCACGCCCCCCUAUCACCUUUGCAUGAAAACGGGCCUGCGCUUAAUUGUGCGGCCACCAAACUCGAACAACUGUUAACAAUGGAUAUCUUGGUUCUC